rnacentral:rRNA from 1 species
AGGGUUUGAUCAUGGCUCAGAACGUACGCUGGCGGCACGCCUAACACAUGCAAGUCGAACGCAGUAGCAAUACUGAGUGGCGGACGGGUGAGUAUAAUGUGGGUAUCUGCCCUAUGGUUUGGAAUAACACGAGGAAACUUGUGCUAAUACUGAAUAAGCCCUUACGGGGAAAGCUUUAUGCGCCAUUGGAUGAGCCCGCACUUGAUUAGCUAGUUGGUAAGGUAAAAGCUUACCAAGGCUACGAUCAAUAGCUGAUCUGAGAGGAUGAUCAGCCACAUUGGGACUGAGACACGGCCCAAACUCCUACGGGAGGCAGCAGUGGGGAAUCUUGCACAAUGGGGGAAACCCUGAUGCAGCGAUGCCGCGUGAGUGAAGAAGGCCCUUGGGUUGUAAAGCUCUUUCGUCGGGGAAGAAAAUGACUGUACCCGAAUAAGAAGGUCCGGCUAACUUCGUGCCAGCCGCCGCGGUAAUAC